rnacentral:lncRNA from 1 species
GAACCUUCAGAGACCAUCAUCCUUCUCACCCUGCAGAUGCUGAACACAGAUGAAGGAUGCAGAUGUUGUGGAGGCCAGGAAACAGGAUUGUCCCGUUUGUGCCACAGCCAUACAUUUUGACCCUUCCAUGCUGUCUAUGCAUGCAAAAAAGAAUGUGCCUGGGCACACGACUGCAAAAAUAAAGAGCCAUUUUGUUUUACAUUGGAAAGACAUCCAAAGAAGAUGUACAAUGACUACUCAAUUCCAGAUGGCAUUUUAAUUGAAGAUCACUUUGUUGUUAAAACGCCUCCCUUGAUCUAGACUUAAGGAACAGAAUGUAUGAAACUGGCCAUAAAAAGGGUGGCCAGUCUAAACCCUAAAAGACCAUUCUUGCAUUAAAAAGAAAAUAAAACACUAACCAGAAUUAAAAAGUCUUAUACAUGUAUUUUUCUCUUAAAAUCUAAUGGAUUUUUAUUCUCCUACAAAAAAAGAAAGAGAGAGAAC